CGGGGUGUAGUGAAGUGGGAUAACCCGUGCCUUGGGAGCACAAGUCGGCAGUUCGAUUCUGCCCACCCCGA
rnacentral:tRNA from 1 species